rnacentral:rRNA from 1 species
AUUGAACGCUGGCGGCAGGCCUAACACAUGCAAGUCGAACGAGUGGCGGACGGGUGAGUAAUGUCUGGGAAACUGCCUGAUGGAGGGGGAUAACUACUGGAAACGGUAGCUAAUACCGCAUACCAUCGGAUGUGCCAAGAUGGGAUUAGCUAGUAGGUGGGGUAACGGCUCACCUAGGAGACGAUCCCUAACUGGUCUGAGGUGAUGACCAUCCAUCCUGGAAUUGUGACACGGUCCAUACUACUACGGGAUGCAGCAGUGGGGAAUAUUGCACAAUGGGCGCAAGCCUGAUUCAGCCAUGCCGCGUGUAUGAAUAAGGCCUUCGGGUUUUAAAGUACGUUCAGCGGGGAGGCGUUACCCGCAGAAGAAGCACCGGCUAACGCCGUGCCAGCAGCCGCGGUAAUAC